GAUGAACGCUAGCGAUAGGCCUAACACAUGCAAGUCGCGGGGCAGCACAUGAGUAGCAAUACGAUGGUGGCGACCGGCGCACGGGUGAGUAACACGUAUGCAACCUACCUUUAACAGGGGAAUAACCCGUUGAAAAACGGACUAAUACUCCAUAACACAGGGGCCCCGCAUGGGAAUAUGUGUUAAAGAUUUAUCGGUUGAACAUGGGCAUGCGUUACAUUAGCUUGUUUGUGAGGUAACGGCUCACCAAGGCCACGCUGGAUAGGGGAACUGAGAGGUUUAUCCCCCACACUGGAACUGAGACACGGUCCAGACUCCUACGGGAGGCAGCAGUGAGGAAUAUUGGUCAAUGGAGGCAACUCUGAACCAGCCAAGUCGCGUGAAGGAUGAAGGUCUUAUGGAUUGUAAACUUCUUUUGCAAGGGAAUAAAGUGGGGGACGUGUCCUCCUUUGCAUGUACCUUGCGAAUAAGGAUCGGCUAACUCCGUGCCAGCCGCCGCGGUAA
rnacentral:rRNA from 1 species